GACGAACGCUGGCGGCGUGCUUAACACAUGCAAGUCGAACGGAAAGGCCCUGCUUGCAGGGUACUCGAGUGGCGAACGGGUGAGUAACACGUGGGUGAUCUGCCCUGCACUUCGGGAUAAGCCUGGGAAACUGGGUCUAAUACCGGAUAGGAGCCAUUUUUAGUGUGAUGGUUGGAAAGUUUUUUCGGUGUAGGAUGAGCUCGCGGCCUAUCAGCUUGUUGGUGGGGUAAUGGCCUACCAAGGCGGCGACGGGUAGCCGGCCUGGGAGGGUGGACGGCCAAAUUGGGACUGAGAUAGGGCCCAGACUCCUACGGGAGGAAGAAGUGGGGAAUAUUGCACAAUGGGCGAAAGCCUGAUGCACCAACGCGGCGUGGGGGAUGACGGCCUUCGGGUUGUAACCCCCUUUCGCAGGGGACGAAGCUUUUGGGACGGGUACUAGAAAAGAAGCACCGGCUAACUACGUG
rnacentral:rRNA from 1 species